rnacentral:rRNA from 1 species
UCCGUCCUUCCGCGCUUCGCUGCGUGCGUUGGUGUUCCGGAACUUUUACUUUGAGAAAAAUAGAGUGUUUCAAGCAGGCUUGUCGCCCUGAAUACUGCAGCAUGGAAUAAUAAGAUAGGACCUUGGUUCUAUUUUGUUGGUUUCUAGGACCGAGGUAAUGAUUAAUAGGGACAGUUGGGGGCAUUCGUAUUUAACUGUCAGAGGUGAAAUUCUUAGAUUUGUUAAAGACGAACUACUGCGAAAGCAUUUGCCAAGGAUGUUUUCAUUAAUCAAGAACGACAGUAGGGGGUUUGAAGACGA